rnacentral:rRNA from 1 species
AUUGAACGCUGGCGGCAUGCUUUACACAUGCAAGUCGAACGGUAACAGGCCGCAAGGUGUUGACGAGUGGCGAACGGGUGAGUAAUGCAUCGGAACGUGCCCAGUCGUGGGGGAUAACUACUCGAAAGAGUAGCUAAUACCGCAUACGAUCUAUGGAUGAAAGCGGGGGACCGUAAGGCCUCGCGCGAUUGGAGCGGCCGAUGUCAGAUUAGGUAGUUGGUGGGGUAAAGGCUCACCAAGCCAACGAUCUGUAGCUGGUCUGAGAGGACAACCAGCCACACUGGGACUGAGACACGGCCCAGACUCCUACGGGAGGCAGCAGUGGGGAAUUUUGGACAAUGGGCGCAAGCCUGAUCCAGCAAUGCCGCGUGCAGGAAGAAGGCCUUCGGGUUGUAAACUGCUUUUGUACGGAACGAAACGGCUCUGGUUAAUACCCGGGGCUAAUGACGGUACCGGAAGAAUAAGCACCGGCUAACUACGUG